CCCACACUGCAGCACGUGUUGUUUGCAAAGGGACUGGCCUGGAAAGCACCAAUUGCCUUUUAUUAAUCAGGAACUGCAGGCAGGAGAGACUCAGGCUUGCUCCCUGCCUCUGCCGCAGGCUUUGCCGUGGACAUCCACUGUCAGGACAGCUGUUUACGGAACAUUUGAAAAAUAUCCUUUGGUGUUUAUAGAAGAAGACAGAACAGGUGUGCGCAAGAUGUCAAUGUCAUGGUAACAGUGAGAUCGUCUCCUCUGAGGCUGAAGGGGGGAUUGGAAGAGGCUUCACAGACGAGGUGAAGACUUACCUGGAUCUAGAAGAUGACAGAAACUAUUUCUACAAAGAGCUUGACCCUCACUGGGAGGAGCAACAGCACCAGCAGUGACAAGAUGGUCUCAAGCGACUGUCCAGGUUGCAGCUCUGACACCAAGUCACCUUUGGGGGUUGCAUCUUCAGAAACAACCAGAGCUGGGUAGCACCGUGGAUAUUCAUUAAGCCUCAAGGGGGCGCUCUGAGCUUCAGUUCUAGGGAUUAGGCAAGAGCCUCCCGCCAGGGCUUGUCCUUUGGAUAAAAGCAAAGGUGGCGAUGCUGGUUUGUCAACCUUCUGAGAGCCUGAAGCUUGGGCCAAGAGAAGCUUGAAAUUGAGGGGAAGCAGAUUCGGAUGAGGAAUGGAGUGGGGAGUGGAGUGUGAUCGAAAACUACGAGACACCUGUCAGGUUUGCAGUUGACAUGAAGCUCAGGGGCAACCUCAUACAUGGGGUGUCCAGACACAAGUUUUAAAGGAUCUUGAUGAACCAGUAAGCCAAGAAUAAAUAUUGCUAGCAUUUAUUGAGCAUCAGUUAUGGGGCUGGCAACAUGCCAGAUCAUUUCAGUCAUUGU